AGGUUCUGUAUGACGUCAGAGGGGUCCUACAGAAGAACAGAGACACCUUCAGAGAUGACAUCUUGAACAUGCUUAAAGACAGCAGACUUGACUUCAUCUAUGACCUGUUUGAGCGUGUCGGGAGCAGGAAUGGAGAGGAGACCCUGAAGAUGGGGACGGCCAGACGAAAACCCACUGUCAGCUCUCAGUUCAGGGACUCUCUCCAUUCCUUGAUGAACACUCUGAGUGCCUCCACCUUUCUUCGUGCGGUGCAUCAAACCAACAUGAACAAGG